ensembl:lncRNA
UCCCCGACUGCCCGGCGCGCCCCGGCACCCACUCUGCGGCUCCACGCGGCCCGCGCCCGGUACUGGCCCUCACGGUACGGGGUGGCCAGUAGGGGCCGGAGACCCCCGCUCGGCGCACUUCCCUAGAAGAUCCCCCACCCUCAGUAGCCUUGGCGGGGCCUUUCGGAGUCGCGUGGGUGCGGGCGGGGACAGCUUCCUCCCCGGCCGUCGCAGCCAGGAGCGCUCGGUAAAGCCUCUAGAGAUGGCUGGAACCUGGCCACCGGAGCCAUCCCUUCGCAAGGACGUGGCCAGAGUCUCUGAGCAGCACCAGCAUCAACAGAGAAAACUGCAGGACAGCUCACAGCGGCUCCCCUGGGUGCCGGCCUUCUGCCCAGGAGGCCACCUGCCUCUCCAAGCCUCAGGGGACAUCUGUGAGAUGGGGUGGGGGCUCAGCUGCAAAACUGUGAAGACUUCAGACAAAGCCAUGUAAAAGUGAUGUGAAGUGACACACCCCCCUGAGGGGUCACCAUCAGUCCCCUAGGUGACCUUCCAUCAUCCUUCUUUCCUGGGGUAUGGGCUGGAGAGAAGGGGGCAGAGGGAGCGGGGCUCACCCAGAGAAAUGGGCAGAACAGACUCAGCAUCAGGGUCAGGGCUCCCUGAGCCCUGUCCUCUGCCUGGCCUGCCCUUGGCAUGACUGGGGCAGCCGAGGGCCCCUCUCAGGACAUGGGACACAGGGCCUUGUCUGCAUAAACAGUUUAAAUGCAAAAACAACAAAAAGCUUAAAAAUCACUUCUUAAGCUGAGUCCAUCUAAGGCCUGGGGUACAAGGUUCUAGACUCUGUCCCAAGAGCAAAGCCUGAGAGAGAAGCAGGAGGACUCAGAAAAUGAAGACGAGGGGAGGAGAGCCCCGGGCGAGCAAGCCCCCAGACCCACCAUGGCUUCAGGGACCUGGCUCACAGCGCUUCCCACCUUCCAGUCCGGCUCCAGAACAGAGCGAGAACUCUCCCUGCAAAGGAGCACAAGGUAUGCUUCCAAGAAUUGUGAGCAGCAUGAUUGGAAAAAAACUAACUGUUCUGGCCAAGUUAGGAGCCCUUAAAGAAAUCACAGUGUAUCCUGCAGUGGAGGCUUCAAAGCAGUUAGAGACCCAAGCAACUCUCUGUGUAUCAAUAUGGAACAAUUCCUAAGAUACAGUGUUACAACUGGGGAAAGCAACCCCCUUGGAUCCAGCCUGCUGCAGAUAUUCCACUCUCUGGGAGGCACACAAGCCUUAACCAAGCUUUGGGGGAUAUUAUCAGAUAGGAGGAACAGCGGAGAAGGCAAUGGCACCCCACUCCAAUACUCUUGCCUGGAAAAAUCCCAUGGACGGAGGAGCCUGGUAGGCUGCAGUCCAUGGGGACACUAAGAGUCGGACACGACUGAGCGACUUCCCUUUCACUUUUCACUUUCAUGCGUUGGAGGAGGAAACGGCAGCCCACUCCAGUGUUCUUGCCUGGAGAAUCCCAGGGACGGGGGAGCCUGGUGGGCUGCCGCCUAUGGGGUCGCACAGAGUCGGACAUGACUGAAGCAACUUAGCAGCAGCAGCAGGAACAAAGGUCGCUGAAAUGCCCUUUUAUGUUUUGGGUUUUUUUUUUUUUUUGGCUGCACACAUGUAUCAUCUAUUCACAUAAUAAAUUCUAUAUGAGCACAGUGGGGAC